AACUGUAGAAUUGCCUUUGAUACUGGUCGUCUUGAAUUAUUGUGAAGUGGUUAGAAUAUGUAGUGUAGCGGUGAAAUGCAUAGAUAUUACAUAGAAUACCAAUUGCGAAGGCAGAUCACUAACAAUAUAUUGACACUGAUGGACGAAAGCGUGGGGAGCGAACGGGAUUAGAUACCCCGGUAGUCCACGCCGUAAACGAUGGUCACUAGCUGUUCGGACUUCGGUCUGAGUGGCUAAGCGAAAGUGAUAAGUGACCCACCUGGGGAGUACGUUCGCAAGAAUGAAACUCAAAGGAAUUGACGGGGGCCCGCACAAGCGGUGGAGCAUGUGGUUUAAUUCGAUGAUACGCGAGGAACCUUACCAGGGCUUAAAUGUAAGUUGCAUGGGGUAGAGAUACCCCUUUCUUCGGACUACUUACAAGGUGCUG
rnacentral:rRNA from 15 species